rnacentral:rRNA from 1 species
GAUGAACGCUGGCGGCGUGCCUAAUACAUGCAAGUCGAGCGAACGGACGAGAAGCUUGCUUCUCUGAUGUUAGCGGCGGACGGGUGAGUAACACGUGGAUAACCUACCUAUAAGACUGGGAUAACUUCGGGAAACCGGAGCUAAUACCGGAUAGUAUUUUGAACCGCAUGGUUCAAAAGUGAAAGACGGUCUUGCUGUCACUUAUAGAUGGAUCCGCGCUGCAUUAGCUAGUUGGUAAGGUAACGGCUUACCAAGGCAACGAUGCAUAGCCGACCUGAGAGGGUGAUCGGCCACACUGGAACUGAGACAUGGUCCAGACUCCUACGGGAGGCAGCAGUAGGGAAUCUUCCGCAAUGGGCGAAAGCCUGACGGAGCAACGCCGCGUGAGUGAUGAAGGUCUUCGGAUCGUAAAACUCUGUUAUUAGGGAAGAACAUAUGUGUAAGUAACUGUGCACAUCUUGACGGUACCUAAUCAGAAAGCCACGGCUAACUACGUG